AAUAGAUACCCUGGUAGUCCACGCCGUAAACGAUGAGUGCUAAGUGUUGGGGGGUUUCCGCCCCCUCAGUGCUGCAGCUAACGCAUUAAGCACUCCGCCUGGGGAGUACGGUCGCAAGACUGAAACUCAAAGGAAUUGACGGGGGCCCGCACAAGCGGUGGAGCAUGUGGUUUAAUUCGAAGCAACGCGAAGAACCUUACCAGGUCUUGACAUCCCGGUGACCACUAUGGAGACAUAGUUUCCCCUUCGGGGGCAACGGUGACAGGUGGUGCAUGGUUGUCGUCAGCUCGUGUCGUGAGAUGUUGGGUUAAGUCCCGCAACGAGCGCAACCCUUAUUCUUAGUUGCCAUCAUUCAGUUGGGCACUCUAAGGAGACUGCCGGUGAUAAACCGGAGGAAGGUGGGGAUGACGUCAAAUCAUCAUGCCCCUUAUGACCUGGGCUACACACGUGCUACAAUGGACGGUACAAACGGUUGCCGAACCCGCGAGGGGAGCUAAUCCGAUAAACCGUUCUCAGUUCGGAUUGUAGGCUGCAACUCGCCUAC
rnacentral:rRNA from 1 species